rnacentral:rRNA from 1 species
ACGCACGCUGGCGGCAUGCCUCACCCCUGCAAGUCGCACGAGACCUUCGGGUCUAGUGGCGCACGGGUGCGUAGCGCGUGGGAACCUGCCCUUAGGUUCGGAAUAACUCCCCGAAAGGGGUGCUAAUACCGGAUAAUGUCUUCGGACCAAAGAUUUAUCGCCUUUGGAUGGGCCCGCGUUGGAUUAGCUAGUUGGUAGGGUAAAAGCCUACCAAGGCGACGAUCCAUAGCUGGUCUGAGAGGAUGAUCAGCCACACUGGGACUGAGACACGGCCCAGACUCCUACGGGAGGCAGCAGUGGGGAAUAUUGGACAAUGGGCGAAAGCCUGAUCCAGCAAUGCCGCGUGAGUGAUGAAGGCCUUAGGGUUGUAAAGCUCUUUUACCCGGGAUGAUAAUGACAGUACCGGGAGAAUAAGCUCCGGCUAACUCCGUG